AGCCAUGCUAGUUGCACGAGUUUAGACUCGUAGCAUAUAGCUCAGUAACACGUGGCCAAACUACCCUACAGACCGCGAUAACCUCGGGAAACUGAGGCCAAUAGCGGAUAUAACUCUCAGGCUGGAGUGCCGAGAGUUAGAAACGUUCCGGCGCUGUAGGAUGUGGCUGCGGCCGAUUAGGUAGAUGGUGGGGUAACGGCCCACCAUGCCGAUAAUCGGUACAGGUUGUGAGAGCAAGAGCCUGGAGACGGUAUCUGAGACAAGAUACCGGGCCCUACGGGGCGCAGCAGGCGCGAAACCUUUACACUGCACGACAGUGCGAUAGGGGGACUCCGAGUGUGAGGGCAUAUAGCCCUCGCUUUUCUGUACCGUAAGGUGGUACAGGAACAAGGACUGGGCAAGACCGGUGCCAGCCGCCGCGGUAAUACCGGCAGUCCGAGUGAUGGCCGAUAUUAUUGGGCCUAAAGCGUCCGUAGCUUGCUGUGUAAGUCCAUUGGGAAAUCGACCAGCUCAACUGGUCGGCGUCCGGUGGAAACUACACAGCUUGGGGCCGAGAGACUCAACGGGUACGUCCGGGGUAGGAGUGAAAUCCUGUAAUCCUGGACGGACCACCAAUGGGGAAACCACGUUGAGAGACCGGACCCGACAGUGAGGGACGAAAGCCAGGGUCUCGAACCGGAUUAGAUACCCGGGUAGUCCUGGCUGUAAACAAUGCUCGCUAGGUAUGUCACGCGCCAUGAGCACGUGAU
rnacentral:rRNA from 1 species